GAUGAACGCUGGCGGCGUGCCUAAUACAUGCAAGUCGAGCGAACGGACGAGAAGCUUGCUUCUCUGAUGUUAGCGGCGGACGGGUGAGUAACACGUGGAUAACCUACCUAUAAGACUGGGAUAACUUCGGGAAACCGGAGCUAAUACCGGAUAAUAUUUUGAACCGCAUGGUUCAAAAGUAAAAGACGGUCUUGCUGUCACUUAUAGAUGGAUCCGCGCUGCAUUAGCUAGUUGGUAAGGUAACGGCUUACCAAGGCAACGAUGCAUAGCCGACCUGAGAGGGUGAUCGGCCACACUGGAACUGAGACACGGUCCAGACUACUACGGGAGGCAGCAGUAGGGAAUCUUCCGCAAUGGGCGAAAGCCUGACGGAGCAACGCCGCGUGAGUGAUGAAGGUCUUCGGAUCGUAAAACUCUGUUAUUAGGGAAGAACAUAUGUGUAAGUAACUGUGCACAUCUUGACGGUAUCUAAUCAGAAAGCCACGGCUAACUACGUG
rnacentral:rRNA from 1 species